GCUCACCUAUUUUAUUUUGCCUUCUCCCUCAUGCUAUCCUUAAGUUGCGUUCUUGUCACGUGUCCCUUCCACUUGUUACCUCAAGCAGCCUAUAUUGCCUCCACCAACCACCUAUGGCUAUUGUUUGGUUUCGGGUCUGCCUUGCGAGUCGUAGUGCAUGCUAGUGCUGUUUACAUCUCGUUACUGUUACCGCCACCUUGUCGGGUUAUCUGUUGGAGAUCAUGACACAUGCUACGUGGUUAUAUCUGUUGAGAGAAUCAUGGUUACUUGUUAAUAAUUGUUAAGCGGAGGCAUCGGUGGGUCAGCUGAUCGUUUUGUGACGGCUCACUUGUGUUUCCUAAAUAUCUUAGGACCCCGAGUUCUUGUUAUCUGUUCCGAGACUGAGCGCUCUAACCACACGUGGGUAUGCUUCUGGGUCUCCCCUCGACCACUGCCGGAAUCUACAGCUUUGUCCAGUGGCCACAACUAUUUCGUAAUGUUUUACCAUUUGUUGUUGCGUGCAUGCCAGCUUGUUACUUAUUUACUUUGGGAAGCCCCUGGGUGCCUUGUAUCCCUUGUUUCUGGUAUGCACGUAUAGGUUUGCGGCCUGAGCGUUUAUCGCAUGCUGAAGCGGGUCAUUCGCCCCUGUGUGUGUUUUGACCCUCGGAAGCCGUGCACGCAAUAGCUAGGUCCGUUUCGGAGAUACGGCCGGACUUCGAUUCGGGUUCAACUUGGUUAGGUGGCUUCCUGGACAUUGUUGUCGUGAAGGAGAGUGCGAGUCGUUAUAUCCACCUGUCGCAAGUGGGUUGAUCGUGCGUGUGGGUACAUUUGGGCACCCCUGCAGGGUAAAAUCUUAUCGAUAAGCCGUGUCCGCGGUUAUGGACGACUUGGAGCUGUAUGACUCGACCAUAGACAACUUACACCUGUUGUUUAUUAAUAAUAACUUGCGUAGUAAGUUAGUACAACUUCAAUAAUAAAUGGUUAAAACUUGACAACCGUGUGAGUGCCCUUGUAAGUACUUCCUUGCGAGGGGGGAACGCAUCGGUUGUGUUAUGUUUGCAGAGUAUAGAACUGUUAGUUAUGCGCUCUCUCACCUUCUCUGAUAGACGACUGUUGUAGAGUGUCUCUAUAGGUUUUUAGUGCUUGCGCGCUGCCGCUUAACCCCACCAUAUUUGCCUAUGACGUUCCUCUUGCGUCCUCUAAGUCCCCUGCGUGCCUCAAGUACAAAGGACGACUGGUUGACGAAUGCUUAUACGUCUUGAAGUCUUGUUAAGUACGAACCCGUACUUAUUGCUGCUUCUACGGGAUAUAACCGGGCAGGUAUGAAGAUCGGUACGAUGAAGACGACGCUAGCAAGGUUACCCUUCCGGCUUGGCCUGGGCAGGGUUAUGGACGCCAUUGGUUAUCUUCAGGGACUCUUAGUCCAAUUUGCAUCUUGUCCGUACUCGGAUGUAUUUGAUCUUCUGUAUGAUUUGGAUCUUUGUAUUGUAUAUUGGUAUCUUGACUCGUUGGAGUCGUUGUUGUAAUA